GGAAGCAGUUAUCGGCCCUCCUCGACGAUCCUCAGUUUGAAGUCAUACCUGAGUUGACGCCAUCAAUGGAAGAGGAGGCUCGGGGUCUUGUGCGGGAUUUAGGCGUUCCGCACACCCCAGACGAGGAGAUGCCUGAUCCGAGCUUGGACCGAGAUUGGGAGGGCGGUCCAGCUGAUCGACGAUCACCUCCGCCGAGGGC